UACAGAGGUCUCGAGCGUUGUUCGGAUUCAUUGGGCGUAAAGGGCGCGUAGGCGGCGGGGUAAGUCUGGUGUGAAAUCUCGGAGCUCAACUCCGAAAUUGCACUGGAUACUGCUCUGCUAGAGGGCUGGAGAGGAGAUCGGAAUUCACGGUGUAGCAGUGAAAUGCGUAGAUAUCGUGAGGAAGACCAGUGGCGAAGGCGGCUCACUGGCCCGAUACUGACGCUGAGGCACGAAAGCGUGGGGAGCAAACAGG
rnacentral:rRNA from 1 species